GGCCGAGCUGCGCAGCGGGUCGACGGUGUACCGCUACCGCCGGGACGACGGCCUGCCGGGCGGCGAGGGCGGGUUCCACCUGUGCGCGGCUU
rnacentral:tRNA from 1 species